CGGGACAACCCCGAGAAAUCGGGGCUAAUACCGGAUGUGGCUGCGGGAAGACAUCUUCCUGCAAUUAAACCCAGCAAUGGGCUUAGGGAUGGGCUUGCGUUCUAUCAGCUAGUUGGUGAGGUAAUGGCUCACCAAGGCAAUGACGGAUAGCUGGUCUGAGAGGAUGAUCAGUCACAAGGGAACUGAGACACGGUCCCUACUCCUACGGGAGGCAGCAGUGAGGAAUUUUCCGCAAUGGGCGAAAGCCUGACGGAGCGACGUCGUGUGUGGGAUNAANUUUUUCGGAACGUAAACCACUGUCAGAUGGGAAGAUAUUGACGGUACCAUCAGAGGAAGGCCCGGCUAACUAUGUGCCAGCAGCCGCGGUAAUACAUAGGGGCCAAGCGUUGUCCGGAUUUAUUGGGUGUAAAGGGUAUGUANGCGGUCU
rnacentral:rRNA from 1 species